rnacentral:rRNA from 1 species
UACGGAGGGUGCAAGCGUUAUCCGGAUUCACUGGGUUUAAAGGGUGCGUAGGUGGCUCGGUAAGUCCGUGGUGAAAUCCCCGAGCUUAACUCGGGAACUGCCGUGGAUACUAUCGAUCUUGAAUACUGUGGAGGUAAGCGGAAUAUGUCAUGUAGCGGUGAAAUGCGUAGAUAUGACAUAGAACACCGAUAGCGAAGGCAGCUUGCUACACAGUCAUUGACACUGAGGCACGAAAGCGUGGGGAGCAAACAGG